rnacentral:rRNA from 1 species
AUUGAACGCUGGCGGCAUGCUUUACACAUGCAAGUCGAACGGUAACAGGCCGCAAGGUGCUGACGAGUGGCGAACGGGUGAGUAAUGCAUCGGAACGUGCCCAGUCGUGGGGGAUAACUACUCGAAAGAGUAGCUAAUACCGCAUACGAUCUAUGGAUGAAAGCGGGGGACCGUAAGGCCUCGCGCGAUUGGAGCGGCCGAUGUCAGAUUAGGUAGUUGGUGGGGUAAAGGCUCACCAAGCCAACGAUCUGUAGCUGGUCUGAGAGGACGACCAGCCACACUGGGACUGAGACACGGCCCAGACUCCUACGGGAGGCAGCAGUGGGGAAUUUUGGACAAUGGGCGCAAGCCUGAUCCAGCAAUGCCGCGUGCAGGAAGAAGGCCUUCGGGUUGUAAACUGCUUUUGUACGGAACGAAACGGCUCUGGUUAAUACCCGGGGCUAAUGACGGUACCGUAAGAACAAGCACCGGCUAACUACGUG